rnacentral:rRNA from 1 species
CUGCUGCCUUCCGUAGGAGUCUGGUCCGUGUCUCAGUACCAGUGUGGGGGACCUUCCUCUCAGAACCCCUACGCAUCGUCGGUUAGGUGGGCCGUUACCCCGCCUACUGCCUAAUGCGCCGCAUGCCCAUCCCUGUCCGGCCGAAGCCUUUCCUGCCUCCGGGAUGCCCCGGUGGCAUGUACGCGGGUUUAGCCCGCCUUUCGGGCGGGUUGUCCCCCUGACAGGGGCAGGUUGCAUACGUGUUACUCACCGUGCGCCGGUCGCCGGCGGAGAAAG